rnacentral:lncRNA from 1 species
AAUUCUCCUCCUCACACCAGGGAGGAUUCCCUUUUCUGCCCCCUCCACCAUCACCCAGCGUCCUCCCCACUCCCCUGUGCCUGCUGGUGCUGAGGGGCGAACUGAAUCUGUUUGGGUGUCUGUGGAACAGGGGAGCAAGUGCGAGGUGUGUAUUAGUGGAAGUCCAGCAGAAGAGAUGGCGAAUGUAACAGGGCUGGGCUAAGGGGAGCUGGCGAGGGAGUGCAGAGCACCUUGAAGGCAGCAGAGCAGAGUCAUUUGGGACCUGGAGAGCGCACGGCUGGAGGAGGGGCUGCCCCACAGAAGCGUGGCCUUCACAGGGGAGAACCACGGUCACCCCAGGCCCAGCAGGGUGUGUAAGUGAGUGGAGAGCAAUCCACAGCCUUUCAUCCUCACAGUCAGGUCUCCAUAACUGACCCUACCAAAGGCCUGGUUGGUGCAGCCUUAGAAGUCAAUCCUUCAGGUACGGGGUGCAGAGCAGGGUGGGGCAGAGUGGAGAGUGGGAGGUGGGGUACAGGGAGCCUCUGGAGCUUUCUUUCUGUUAUUAUUUUGUGUGUGCUUUGAGACAGGGUCUUGCUGUGUUGCCCAGGCUGGAGUGCAGCAGCAUGAUCACAGCUCGCUACGGCCUCGACCUCCUGGCCUCAAGUGAUCCUCCUACUUCAGCCUCCUGAGUAGCUGGGACUACAGGCUUGCAUCACCAUGCCUGGCUGAUUUUUUAUUUUUAUUUUUUGUAAAGAUGAGGUCUCACUAUGUUGCCCAGGUUGGCCUCAAACUCCUGGGCUCAAGCCAUCCUCCAGCCUUGGCCUCCCAAAGUGCUGGGAUUACAGGUGUAAGCCACCAUGCCUGGACUCUCUGGAGCUUUCUGAGGAACAGACAGGGUGGCAGUGACGCUCUGUGCCCCCGAGAGGGGGUGGGCUGGAAAGCAGAACAUGCUAUUCUGUGUGCGCCCAGGGCAGCUUCAUCCUUCUGGCUUCUCUGACCACCACCAGCCAUGCUGGGUGCAAGAGCCCCAAGGGAGGGCCCCUGUUCUUUCCCUGGGGUACCCAGAGGAUUUCCCAUACUUGCAUAGGACCUGGGGGUCAGGAGGGGGAGGAAUCAGGAAGAAGAAGCCGCCUCUGAGAGAAGGAGUGGGAGAGAGCCAGCAGCAGAGCUGUCUCCCAGCUUCUCACUUUCAGAAACACACUCGCUGCCGCAGCCUUUUAUUCUUCCUACAAAUUUGUACUGCACACUUACUGUGGGCAAGGCCAGUUCCUGCCAAGCACAAGCUUGUGCUUAGGCAGCUGUCAGUGUGGGCACGCCCUCCAUGGCUGCCUGGCCUGAGGGCAGGCUCAUUAAGCGAAUGAGGAGGGGCAGUGUCAGUUCACCGGCUGCCUCCUCCGAGGAAUCUUCCAGCCCACCCCAGCCCAAGGCUCCCUUCCUGUCCCGAGCACCAUGUCUGUCACUGUUAGCAUUAUUGCCUACAGUUACUGCCCCCCAAGUAUAACCUCCCCAGGACCCAUACCUAGGAGGGAGGGAACUACAGGCAGUGGAGGCCUCUGCUUAGAGAUGCUCUGUAAUUCUGACUGCCCCAUGCUCACCUCUGGAAAGAGAGGCAGUUCAAUUACCCAACCAAUAAUGUAGCCAUUUUCUGUCUGUUGGGCAGGUGAGACCAAUAAUACCAGCUGCCCCCAGCUCCAGUCCCCCCUCCCCUGGCUCAGCAUCUUAGCACAUUUGUUGCUUAGCAAGGGAGGGUGGUUCCCAUGACUUUCUGUUUCUUUGCUCCCCACUCACCUAGCAGCUGAUGGGGAGUGGGAGGACAGUGGUCGCCUGUCAGCUUCCCUGCUGUCUUAUGUGCACAUGGCAGGGGUGCCGUACAGCCUGGAGGCCUGGACAAAUGGAAUUCAAGGGCUGGGGAAAGAGUGGGCUGAGGCCUUACCGGUCACACCUACAGGCUGCCGAGCCUGCCAGGCAGCUUCAAUUGCAGGGUUCGGCUCCCAGAGAGAAUGGCUGCUGUUCUAUUCUACCUUGGUCCCUGGGAUGGAAACCUGAUUGGAUUGAAUCCUAGGAUAUGUCAUUUUCCCUCUGCUAGCUGCUGGUCCCAGCGUCUCCCAUACCUGAUGGUGUGAGGCUGGACCAGAGCCGGUAUCUAUGCCAGGAGAGUCUGGGGCUUGGCCUGUUUCUGGGGCACUGGGGCACUGGGGCAGGGAAUAGGUCUUGGCUGCUAGGUGAGCUACUCCUCAAUGCACCCAGGAGCUUUCCAGAUCCAUAGCCCUGAAGAGAGAAGAGAGAAGAUCUCACGGACUGUUGAUCUUUCACCUUUCCCUCUCUGCUGUCCCCAACCUGUCAUCUGUGCCACAGAACUGAGGACCUAGUUGGAGAGACAGACAGCCUUCCUGUUAAGAAAACAAAAGAACAUGUGAGAUCACGGAGCUGCAGACUGCACCUUGGAGAUCACUGAAUCUUCUCUUCUCUUGGCCAGAGGAGGGGAUAGAAGAAAGCAGACAUGCCUGAGGCCACACAGCUGGCUGUCAUAGAAGUUACUUGGACAACACCACCCACCCCUGGGGGGUGGGGUGGUGGGAACUUGCUUGGUGAUGGCAACAAACAAACAAACACUUUCCCCUUCCCACUUCUCUUCCGGUAUUCCAGACAGGAGGAAUAAUGUACUGAUCUGCUGACAUUAAGAAGGACCCUAUUUUCAGAUUACUUCUUCAAAGGAGCAGCAUCUACAUUGGCAAGGACCGCCGUGAGGAUCCAAGUGCACAGUGAGGUGGGGGGAGGCAGAUACAUGGAUUCCUUUCCACGUGGCCCACAAGAAACACCUGUCCCUCCAGACUCGGGGACCACCAGGGACCUUGAAUAGUUGCCUUGGCAACUCAUUGCCUGGCUAACUCCCACUCCUUUGGGUUUCAGCUUAAACAUCAGUUGUGCAAGAUCUUCUGGACCCCUAAGUUGGGUCCUCCUCUUGUAAGCAUUCAUAGCAUUCUCUACAUACCCUUUACAGCACUUUUAUGAGUUGAAUAGCAUGGUUAUUGGUGUGCUUAUUUGUUUCACACCUGUCUUUUGCACUAAAUUCUAAGCUCUCUGAGGAAAAGGAAUAUGUUUCUGUUGCGUACCAUCUUAUCACCACGUAGCAGUGGGUGCUCCAUAAGAUCCUCCUGCGUGAGUAAGUGAAUUCCCUGCCUCAUCCCUCUCUCAUGCCUUAGCAUGAGGCCUGAGGCCAAGAGCCCGUCCAUCACAUACCCCUUGCCCAAAGCCUCCUUAUAACGGUCAGGAGAAGGGUGGCAUCUCCUCCUCUCCCUUCUAACUCAAGGAACAAAUCACUGGCUACAUGAUAGUUGCCCUUCCUCCCAUCCUUCCAGCAUAGUAGCCCCUGCCCAGGAUCCAAAAGGCAGAAGGUGAGUAAUUGCUAUUUUUAUUUAUCUUUGCACAAGGCUGCCCUCUGGUGGUCGAACAUGUAGGAGCGAAUGGGAAGGAUGGAAACCCCAGUAGCCAGGAACCAGCCCAGCUGGCUGAGCCAACCACGCUCAAGAGACUGGCCAGCGAGCCAGGGAGUAGCCAAACACUUUGCCCUCAUUUGC